rnacentral:rRNA from 1 species
UACAGAGGUCUCAAGCGUUGUUCGGAUUCAUUGGGCGUAAAGGGUGCGUAGGCGGCGCGGUAAGUCGGGUGUGAAAUCUCGGAGCUUAACUCCGAAACUGCAUUCGAUACUGCCGUGCUUGAGGACUGGAGAGGAGACUGGAAUUUACGGUGUAGCAGUGAAAUGCGUAGAGAUCGUAAGGAAGACCGGUGGCGAAGGCGGGUCUCUGGACAGUUCCUGACACUGAGGCACGAAGGCCAGGGGAGCAAACGGG